CUGCCGGCACGCGCGGGGAGCGAACACCGCCUGGCUGCCGCGCGUGUUACGACGCGUGUAGAUUUAUGAUAAACUUUAUUUUAACUUAAUGUUAAACCUGAACCUGAUAUAGCAUGUGCACUGCAACUUUAAAGAAAAAUGAAAACGCAUUUAAAACAGAAAGACAGUAAGUCCCCCUGCGAGGGACGCAAGAGCGUCGCAGGGAACACGGCUGGGACUCGCCCUGCGAGGGACGCCAGAGCGUCGCAGGGAACACGGCUGUGACUCAUCCUGCGAGGGACGCAAGAGCGUCGCAGGGAAAACGGCUGGGACUCACCCUGCGAGGGACGCCAGAGUGUCGCAGGGAAAACGGCUGGGACUCACCCUGCGAGGGACGCCAGAGCGUCGCAGGGAACACGGCUGGGACUCACCCUGCGAGGGACGCAAGAGCGUCGCAGGGAAAACGGCUGGGACUCACCCUGCGAGGGACGCCAGAGCGUCGCAGGGAAAACGGCUGAGACUCACCCUGCGAGGGAUGCCAGAGCGUCGCAGGGAAAACGGCUGGGACUCACCCUGCAAGGGACGCCAGAGCGUCGCAGGGAACACGGCUGGGACUCACCCUGCGAGGGACGCAAGAGCGUCGCAGGGAAAACGGCUGGGACUCGCCCUGCGAGGGACGCCAGAGCAUCGCAGGGAGCACGGCUGGGACUCGCCCUGCGAGGGACGCCAGAGCAUCGCAGGGAAAAACGGCUGGGACUCACCCUGCGAGGCACACCAGUAUGUUCCUUUUGAUAGUAAGAUAAUCAGCAGCCUCACAAAGACACAGUGACUGGCAUACUAACAUGGGGUGUGUUUAUGCUGGUCUGCGUAGCGGCAUGCUAAGCGUCCGUCUGGCGUGUCCUGAAUCCGCCCAGCAGCUUAUCUCACAGCACAGUUUCCGGGGGAACCCCAGCAUGCCGCCAAGGUGACCUUCAGGCCGUGUCUGCUGAUGCUAAUCAGCUUGCGUCUCGCGUGCAACCAGCUGUGGUGUGCAUGCGCUUGUGUCUUUGGGGGGGGGUGGAGAGCUUGAAUAAUAAAAACAUCCUUA